UACGGGGGGGGCAAGCGUUGUUCGGAAUUACUGGGCGUAAAGGGCCAGUAGGCGGCCAACUAAGUCCGACGUGAAAUCCCCAGGCUUAACCUGGGAACUGCGUCGGAUACUGGAUGGCUUGAAUUCGGGAGAGGGAUGCAGAAUUCCAGGUGUAGCGGUGAAAUGCGUAGAUAUCUGGAGGAAUACCGGUGGCGAAGGCAGGUCUCUGGGCCGAUACUGACGCUGAGGAGCGAAAGCGUGGGGAGCGAACAGG
rnacentral:rRNA from 1 species